rnacentral:lncRNA from 1 species
UGGGCAGUAGAAGUUAUUUUGCAUGAUCCAACGGCUGAAAUUCAUUUCGAUCCAGAUCCGACGGUCAGCAUCCAUUGUCAGUUUGUAAAGAGAGGUUUUUGUGCGAUCAGACGGCCAAAAAUGAAUCUAUCAUGAGAUUCGACGGCUGAGGAUGCUCCCAACUGAGAAUAAGAGAUUAUCGACGUGAUUCGACAGUCCAGAACCAAUCACAAGCAUGAUCGAACGACUGUAGUUCGAUCCGACUUUGAUAAGGACUAAAACUAUAGAUUUUGGGCAGA